UACGGGGGGGGUAAGCGUUGUUCGGAAUUACUGGGCGUAAAGGGCUCGUAGGCGGCCAACUAAGUCAGACGUGAAAUCCCCAGGCUUAACCUGGGAACUGCGUCUGAUACUGGAUGGCUUGAGAUUGGGAGAGGGAUGCGGAAUUCCAGGUGCAGCGGUGAAAUGCGUAGAUAUCUGGAGGAACACCGGUGGCGAAGGCGACAUCCUGGACCAACACUGACGCUGAGGAGCGAAAGCCAGGGGAGCAAACGGG
rnacentral:rRNA from 1 species